GACGAACGCUGGCGGCGUGCUUAACACUGCAAGUCGAACGGAAAGGCCCUGCUUUUGUGGGGUGCUCGAGUGGCGAACGGGUGAGUAACACGUGAGUAACCUGCCCUUGACUUUGGGAUAACUUCAGGAAACUGGGGCUAAUACCGGAUAGGAGCUCCUGCUGCAUGGUGGGGGUUGGAAAGUUUCGGCGGUUGGGGAUGGACUCGCGGCUUAUCAGCUUGUUGGUGGGGUAGUGGCUUACCAAGGCUUUGACGGGUAGCCGGCCUGAGAGGGUGACCGGCCACAUUGGGACUGAGAUACGGCCCAGACUCCUACGGGAGGCAGCAGUGGGGAAUAUUGCACAAUGGGCGGAAGCCUGAUGCAGCAACGCCGCGUGCGGGAUGACGGCCUUCGGGUUGUAAACCGCUUUCGCCUGUGACGAAGCGUGAGUGACGGUAAUGGGUAAAGAAGCACCGGCUAACUACGUG
rnacentral:rRNA from 1 species